GGGGCGUGGUGUAGUGGGAACACUCAGGUCCGCGGAACCUGCAUCACGGGUUCGAGUCCCGUCGCCUCCA
rnacentral:tRNA from 1 species